rnacentral:misc_RNA from 1 species
UUUCCGUAGGUGAACCUGCGGAAGGAUCAUUACUGAGUUAGGGUCUUUAUGGCCCGACCUCCAACCCUUUGUUUAAUCUACCAUGUUGCUUUGGCAGGCCCGCUUAGAAAUGGGCCGCCGGAGACCUUUGAGUCUCUGGUCAGUGCCUGCCAGUAGCCUUUCUAAAUUCAUUUAUAACCGUGUCUGAAUAUACAAAGAAAAAUUAAAAUAAAACUUUCAACAACGGAUCUCUUGGUUCUG